rnacentral:rRNA from 1 species
GACGAACGCUGGCGGCGUGCUUAACACAUGCAAGUCGAACGGAAAGGCCCUGCUUUUGUGGGGUGCUCGAGUGGCGAACGGGUGAGUAACACGUGAGUAACCUGCCCUUGACUUUGGGAUAACUUCAGGAAACUGGGGCUAAUACCGGAUAGGAGCUCCUGCUGCAUGGUGGGGGUUGGAAAGUUUCGGCGGUUGGGGAUGGACUCGCGGCUUAUCAGCUUGUUGGUGGGGUAGUGGCUUACCAAGGCUUUGACUGGUAGCCGGCCUGAGAGGGUGACCGGCCCCAAUAGGACUACGAUACGCCCCAGACUCCUACGGGAGGCAGCAGUGGGGAAUAUUGCACAGUGGGCGGGAGCCUGAUGCAGCAACGCCGCGUGCGGGAUGACGGCCUUCGGGUUGUAAACCGCUUUCGCCUGUGACGAAGCGUGAGUGACGGUAAUGGGUAAAGAAGCACCGACUAACUACGUG